UCGGGUUUGAAACUCAGAUCAUGUAAGAAUUUAAAGGUCGAACAGACCUAUACAUUAAGCGGCUACACCUAACUAUUAUCUUAAUCCAACAUCGAGGUCGCAAGCCUUCCUGUAAAUAUGAACUCUGGAGGAGGAUUACGCUGUUAUCCCUAAGGUAACUUAGUCUAUCAAUCAUUAAUAAUGGAUCUAUUAUUCAUAAAUCAAUGGGAAAAAAAUAAAAAAGUUAAUUAUAUAUUUUUGUCACCCCAACAAAAUAUAAAACAAUAUAAAAAAUUAAUAUAAAAAUAAUUAAAUUGAAUAUAUAAAGAUCUAUAGGGUCUUCUCGUCUUCCAAUACCAUUUUAGCUUUUUAACUAAAAAAUUAAUUUAUAAAACAAAUAAAUUGAGACAGUCGAUUCCUCGUCAAACCUUUCAUUCCAGCCCUCUAUUAAAAGACUAAUGAUUAUGCUACCUUUGCACGGUCAAUAUACCGCGGCCGUUAAAUAAAUCACUGGGCAGGUCAGACCUUAAAUUAAUUUCAAAAGGACAUGUUUUUGUUAAACAGGCGAGAAUCAUAAUUGCCGAGUUCCUUAAUUUAUUAUCUACAUAUUACUUAUAUAAACAAAAUAUUAUACUAAUUCAAUCAUUAUUUCUUAAAAUUAAAAAUUUCUUAUAAUAUUUUAAUAGAAUACUAAAAAAAAGAAAAUUAAUUAAUAAAAAAAAUAAAUUAUAACACAAUUACUAAUGAUGGAUACUUUUAAACCUACUUUAAUAAAUUAAAAUCAACUUUAUAAAAAUAAAUAGAGCUUAUCCCCUAUAAAAUUUAGCUUUUUAUAUAAAGUAUAAUUAAAUAUAAAAGUUAAAUAAAAAGAUUAAAUUAAAUUUAUUUCUUAAAAAACUAGAUACCUUCAUAACCGAAUAAAAUUUCUCCUCUAAUUAAUAUUAUUAAUAAUUAUACAACAUUAAAUAAAAUAAAAAAUUAGCUCUUCUGAAAUCGAGAAUUAAAUAUAAAUUAAAUUAUUUGAUUAACCCUGAUACAAAAGGUACUAUAAAUAAAAUAUACUUAAAAAAAAUUAAUUAUUAAAUAUUUCAUCAAUUCCUUAACAAUACUAAUUCACUAUAACAAAGAUAUAUUUUUCUUUAAUAUACUAAACUUAAAGAUAUUUCUCAUAAAAUCAAAACAAAAUUAAGUAAGAUUUUAAUUA
rnacentral:rRNA from 1 species